GAUUCUAUGGUGUAACCGGUUAUCACUUUGGACUUUGAAUCCAACAAUCUGAGUUCGAGUCUCCGUAGAAUCU
rfam:Folsomia candida strain VT population Fcan01_Sc030, whole genome shotgun sequence.